rnacentral:rRNA from 1 species
AACCUUUACACUGCACGGCAGUGCGAUAGGGGGACUCCGAGUGCGAGGGCAUAUAGUCCUCGCUUUUCUGUACCGUAAGGUGGUACAGGAACAAGUGCUGGGCAAGACCGGUGCCAGCCGCCGCGGUAAUACCGGCAGCACGAGUGAUGGCCGAUAUUAUUGGGCCUAAAGCGUCCGUAGCUGGCCGGCCAAGUCCGUUGGGAAAUCCACCCGCUUAACGGGUGGGCGUCCAGCGGAAACUGUCCGGCUUGGAGCCGGAAGACUCAAGGGGUACGUCCGGGGUAGGAGUGAAAUCCCGUAAUCCUGGACGGACCGCCGGUGGCGAAAGCGCCUCAGGAAGACGGACUCGACAGUGAGGGACGAAAGCUAGGGUCUCGAACCGGAUUAGAUACCCGGGUAGUCCUAGCUGUAAACAAUGUCCGCUAGGUGUGGCGCAGGCUACGAGCCUGCGCUGUGCCGUAGGGAAGCCGUGAAGCGGACCGCCUGGGAAGUACGUCUGCAAGGAUGAAACUUAA